GACGAACGCUGGCGGCGUGCUUAACACAUGCAAGUCGAACGGAAAGGCCUGCUUUCCCUUGUGGAUUGCGGGUACUCGAGUGGCGAACGGGUGAGUAACACGUGAGUGAUCUGCCCCCAACUUGGGUAUAAGCCUGGGAAACUGGGUCUAAUUCCCGAUAGGACUGCAGGGUGGUGCCUGUGGUGGAAAACGAUUUUCUAGUGGUUGGGGAUGAGCUCGCGGCCUAUCAGCUUGUUGGUGGGGUAAUGGCCUACCAAGGCGGCGACGGGUAUCCGGCCUGGGAGGGUGGACGGCCACAUUGGGACUGGGAUACGGCCCAGACUCCUACGGGAGGCAGCAGUGGGGAAUAUUGCACAAUGGGCGGAAGCCUGAUGCAGCGACGCCGCGUGGGGGAUGACGGCAUUCGGGUUUUAAGCUCCUUUCGACCGCGAGGAAGCCACCUGGUUGGAAGGGUGGUGACGGUAGUGGUAGAAGAAGCACCGGCUAACUACGUG
rnacentral:rRNA from 1 species